AAGUCGUAACAAGGUUUCCGUAGGUGAACCUGCGGAAGGAUCAUUAUCGUAGGGCUUCGGCCCUGUCGAGAUAGAACCCUUGCCUUUAUGAGUACCGUCCGUUUCCUCGGCAGGCCCGCCUGCCGAUGGACCCAAAACCAAACCCUUUUAUUACCUGUAUCAGUCUGAAAAAUAAACAAAAAUUAAAACUUUCAACAACGGAUCUCUUGGUUCUG
rnacentral:misc_RNA from 1 species